UACGAAGGGGGCUAGCGUUGCUCGGAUUGACUGGGCGUAAAGGGCGCGUAGGCGGUUCGUACAGUCAGACGUGAAAUUCCUGGGCUCAACCUGGGGGCUGCGUUUGAUACGUACGGACUUGAGUGCGGAAGAGGGUCGUGGAAUUCCCAGUGUAGAGGUGAAAUUCGUAGAUAUUGGGAAGAACACCGGUGGCGAAGGCGGCUCUCUGGACCGAGACUGACGCUGAGGCGCGAAAGCGUGGGGAGCAAACAGG
rnacentral:rRNA from 1 species